rnacentral:rRNA from 1 species
CCUACGGGUGGCAGCAGUGAGGAAUAUUGGUCAAUGGGCGUAAGCCUGAACCAGCCAAGUCGCGUGAGGGAUGAAGGUUCUAUGGAUCGUAAACCUCUUUUAUCAGGGAAUAAAGUGUGGGACGUGUCCUGCUUUGUAUGUACCUUAUGAAUAAGGAUCGGCUAACUCCGUGCCAGCAGCCGCGGUAAUACGGAGGAUCCGAGCGUUAUCCGGAUUUAUUGGGUUUAAAGGGUGCGUAGGCGGCCUGUUAAGUCAGCGGGGAAAGUCGGUGGCUCAACCAUAGAAUUGCCGUUGAAACUGGGAGGCUUGAGUAGGUUUGAGGCAGGCGGAAUGCGUGGUGUAGCGGUGAAAUGCUUAGAUAUCACGCAGAACCCCGAGUGCGAAGGCAGCCUACCAAGCCAUGACUGACGCUGAUGCACGAAAGCGUGGGGAUCAAACAGGAUUAGAUACCCUUGUAGUC